AUUGAACGCUGGCGGCAGGCUUAACACAUGCAAGUCGAGCGAGAAGAGGACGGGUGAAUAAUGUCUGGGAAACUGCCUGAUGGAGGGGGAUAACUAAUGGAAACGGUAGAUAAAACCGCAUAGCGACAUAUGGGCUCAGAUGGGAUUAGCUAGCAGGUGGGGUAAGGGUCCAACUAGGCGACGAUCCCUAGCUGGUCUGAGGGGAUGACCAGCCCCACUGGAACUGAGACACGGUCCAGACUCCUCCGGGAGGCAGCAGUGGGGAAUAUUGGACAAGUGGCGCAAGCCUGAUGCAGCCAUGCCGCGUGUGUGAAGAAGGCCUUCGGGUUGUAAAGCUCUUUCAGCGAGGAAGCGUUACUCGCAGAAGAAGCACCGGCUAACUCCGUGCCAGCCGCCGCGGUAAUUC
rnacentral:rRNA from 1 species